rnacentral:rRNA from 1 species
AUGGCCAUGGUGACUCGGUCUUCUCGGAGGAAGAGAAGAGGGAGGGAGACGAGGUGGGAUGGAGAGAAGAGAAGGGAAAAUAGGGACUGCGCGACUACCUACUGCUGGUCCGGCGGCAGCUCCGGUACUCCCUCCCUCAGUCUAAGAUCUCUGGGAAGAAAUUAUUUCAACAAUAUUCACUCUAUUGUGCUUACUGCGGUCAUGUGGAAUAUAUGGAAGCGAAGGAACUCCAAGCUCUUCUGGGAUGUUUAUGAGGAAUUGCACAUUACUUCUAGCAAGAUUGUUGAUGAUCUUAUAUAUUUUGGUCCAACGGCUGGCAAAAACUACAAGGACGAUGUUUCUUCUGGAUCUAACAGCUUGGCCAACCAAGAUCCUGGACUGAGGCAUUGCUAUGAUCUUAGGGGGUGCAAUGAAGAUAAGAUUGAGGAUUUCCAAGUACAAGAUGUUAGGAAGGAGCCUUGCAAGAGAAGUAGGAGCUGCGCUCAGCCUCUUCAACCUGCUAAG